rnacentral:rRNA from 1 species
CAGCAGCCGCGGUAAUACGUAGGUGGCGAGCGUUGUCCGGAAUUAUUGGGCGUAAAGGGAGCGCAGGCGGACAUAUAAGUCCAUCUUAAAAGUGCGGGGCUCAACCCCGUGAGGGGAUGGAAACUGUAUGCCUUGAGUGCAGGAGAGGAAAGCGGAAUUCCCAGUGUAGCGGUGAAAUGCGUAGAUAUUGGGAGGAACACCAGUGGCGAAGGCGGCUUUCUGGACUGCAACUGACGCUGAGGCUCGAAAGCCAGAGGAGCGAACGGGAUUAGAUACCCCCGUAGUCCCUGUCUCUUAUACA